rnacentral:rRNA from 1 species
UAACGCGUGAGCAAUCUGCCUUUAAGAGGGGGAUAACAGUCGGAAACGGCUGCUAAUACCGCAUAAAGCAUCAAAUUCGCAUGUUUUUUGAUGCCAAAGGAGCAAUCCACUUUUAGAUGAGCUCGCGUCUGAUUAGCUGGUUGGCGGGGUAACGGCCCACCAAGGCGACGAUCAGUAGCCGGACUGAGAGGUUGAACGGCCACAUUGGGACUGAGACACGGCCCAG